rnacentral:rRNA from 1 species
UAGGGAAUCCUCCACAAUGGGCGAAAGCCUGAUGGAGCAACGCCGCGUGUGUGAUGAAGGGUUUCGGCUCGUAAAACACUGUUGUAAGAGAAGAAUGACAUUGAGAGUAACUGUUCAAUGUGUGACGGUAUCUUACCAGAAAGGAACGGCUAACUACGUGCCAG